AGAAGCUUGUUUUUCUGUUUUCUUUCUUCUACUUGUAUUUACUUGGUUCAAUCGGGGGAUUGAAUCAAGGAGAUUGAGGUUGGUUGGUGAGCCGGUUUAAAACCAACGUGUGUAAGGGUUUGAUUGUGAGCCCGGAAAAACAAUCAGGGUUGGUUCUAGUCGGUGAGCCUGGGAAAACCGACCGAGUUCGUUGUGAGCUCGUAAAACAACAAGUUUGGUUGUGAGCUUGCAAAACAACCGACUGUAAUAGUGAAAUUCCCAAGUGAGACUUGGGGAGUGGACGUAGGAGCAAGGGUUAGCUCCGAACCACUAUAAAACCUUGUGUUUGUGUU
rnacentral:lncRNA from 1 species